rnacentral:rRNA from 1 species
ACUCAAAUGAAUUGACGGGGGCCCGCACAAGCGGUGGAGCAUGUGGUUUAAUUCGACGCAACGCGAAGAACCUUACCAGGGCUUGACAUCCUUAGAACCUUGAGGAAACUUGAGGGUGCCCUUCGGGGAGCUAAGAGACAGGUGGUGCAUGGUUGUCGUCAGCUCGUGUCGUGAGAUGUUGGGUUAAGUCCCGCAACGAGCGCAACCCCUAUGUUUAGUUGCUAACAGUUAGGCUGAGCACUCUAGACAGACUGCCGGUGAUAAACCGGAGGAAGGUGGGGAUGACGUCAAAUCAUCAUGCCCCUUAUGUUCUGGGCUACACACGUGCUACAAUGGCCGGUACAAACGGAAGCGAAGCCGCGAGGUGGAGCAAAUCUGAGAAAACCGGUCUCAGUUCGGAUUGCAGGCUGCAACUCGCCUGCAUGAAGUUGGAAUCGCUAGUAAUCGCAGGUCAGCAUACUGCGGUGAAUACGUUCCCGGGCCUUGUACACACCGCCCGU